rnacentral:rRNA from 1 species
UUAAGAAAAUAAGUGCAAGCGGUGGAUGCCUUGGCAUUCAGAGGCGAUGAAGGACGUGAUAAUCUGCGAUAAGCUUCGGUUAGCUGGUAAAUGAGCUAUGACCCGGAGAUUUCCGAAUGGGGGAACCCACCUGACACAAGUUGGGUACUCACUCGAUAUAGAGUGUAGAGCGAACGAGGGGAACUGAAACAUCUAAGUACCCUUAGGAAGAGAAAUCAAUUGAGAUUCCCGUAGUAGUGGCGAGCGAAGUGGGAAGAGCCUGGUAUGAUUUAGCUGUAAUUAUAGUAGAACAAGUUGGGAAGCUUGACGAUAGAGGGUGAUAGUCCCGUAUACGAAAUAAUCACAGUGGAACUAAGCAUACGAACAAGUAGGACGGGGCACGUGGAACCUUGUCUGAAUAUGGGGGGACCAUCCUCCAAGGCUAAAUACUCCUGAAUGACCGAUAGUGAACUAGUACCGUGAGGGAAAGGUGAAAAGAACCCUUAUAAAGGGAGUGAAAUAGAAUCUGAAACCGCUUGCAUACAAGCAGUAGGAGCAUGAUUUAGUCAUGUGACUGCGUACCUUUUGUAUAAUGGGUCAGCGAGUUAUUUUUAGUGGCGAGGAUAACUGAAUAAGGGAUCCGUAGCGAAAGCGAGUUUUAAUAGGGCGACUAGUCGCUAGGAGUAGACCCGAAACCGGCGCGAUCUAUCCAUGGCCAGGUUGAAGAUUAGGUAGUACUAAUUGGAGGACCGAACCCAAUACUGUUGCAAAAGUAUGGGAUGAGCUGUGGAUCGGAGUGAAAGGCUAAUCAAGCACGGAGAUAGCUGGUUCUCCCCGAAAACUAUUUAGGUAGUGCCUCGUGUAUAACUCAUUGGGGUAAAGCACUGUUUCGACAAUGGGGGUUUUACGACCUUACUGACUCGAUGCAAACUCAGAAUACGAUGAAGUUCGAUCACGGGAGACACACUGCGGGUGCUAAGGUCCGCAGUGGAAAGGGAAACAGCCCAGACCGCCAACUAAGGUCCCAAAGUCAUAGCUAAGUGGGAAACGAAGUGGGAAGGCCCAGACAGCCAGGAGGUUGGCUUAGAAGCAGCCACCCUUUAAAGAAAGCGUAAUAGCUCACUGGUCGAGUCGGCCUGCACGUAAGAUUUAACGGGGCUAAGCUAUGCACUGAAGUUGCGGAAUAUAUUUAGUAUAUUGGUAGGGGAGCGUUCUGUAAGCCGAUGAAGGUGAAUUGAGAAGUUUGCUGGAGGUAUCAGAAGUGCGAAUGCUGACAUGAGUAACGUAAAAUAAGUGAGAUUCUUAUUGGCCGAAAACCCAAGGGUUCCUACGCAAUGUUAAUCAACGUAGGGUAAGCCGGCCCCUAAGGCGUAGCUGAAGAGUGAAGUCGAUGGGAAACAGGUUAAUAUUCCUGUGCUGCUUAUAUGAACGAAGGAGGGACGGAGAAGGUUAGGUAGGCCUGGCGAAUGGUUGUCCAGGUGAAAGUAUGUAGGUAGGAAUGCUAGGCAAAUCCGGUGUUCUGUUGAUCUGAGAUACGAGACGAAGUUAAACUUGUUUGACGAAGCUAUUGAUACCAUGCUUCCAGGAAAAGCUUCUAAGUAUAUUGUAUAAGUGACCGUACUGUAAACCGACACUGGUGGGUAGGUAGAGAAUACUAAGGCUAUGAGAUAACUCUGGUGAAGGAACUAGGCAAAAUGACACCGUAACUUUGGAAGAAGGUGUGCCCUUGAUGGUGAUGAGACUUGCUCUUUGAGCUGUUGGGGGUUGCAGAUACCAGGUGGCUGCGACUGUUUAUCAAAAACACAGCACUCUGCGAAAUCGUAAGAUGAAGUAUAGGGUGUGACGCCUGCCCGGUGCUGGAAGGUUAAUUGAAGGGGUUAGCGCAAGCGAAGCUCUGGAUCGAAGCCCCAGUAAACGGCGGCCGUAACUAUAACGGUCCUAAGGUAGCGAAAUUCCUUGUCGGGUAAGUUCCGACCUGCACGAAUGGCGUAACGAUGGCCACACUGUCUCCACCAGAGACUCAGUGAAAUUGAAAUCGCUGUGAAGAUGCAGUGUACCCGCGGUUAGACGGAAAGACCCCGUGAACCUUUACUAUAGCUUUGCACUGGACUUUGAAUAUUUAUGUGUAGGAUAGGUGGGAGACCAUGAAGCAGCUACGCCAGUAGUUGUGGAGUCGUCCUUGAAAUACCACCCUUGAAUAUUUGAAGUUCUAACUCAGGAGAGAUUCGAGGACAGUGUAUGGUGGGUAGUUUGACUGGGGCGGUCUCCUCCUAAAGAGUAACGGAGGAGUACGAAGGUGCACUCGGUACGGUCGGAAAUCGUGCCAAGAGUAUAAAGGCAAAAGUGCGCUUGACUGCGAGAGUGACGGCUCG